AUUUAGCAUGUUCAACCUGGCAAUAAAUACGCGAUGCACAUGCCCUGCAUGAUGAGAUAUACCUGGAGCUGAGCUUCUCUCCUAUGGCCAUCAAUGGGCCAGACCAAUCUGGGGAUGUCGCAACAAAGUGUUGAGCAUAGGAGGCUUGGCAGGGUUUUGGACAUGUACAUUCGAACAUUGUUGUACAAACAAUAACAGUUUGUAAACAUCCAAGUCUUAGUACAUAUUACUCUACUUGAUAUUUUAGUUUCAUACAUUUUACUUGCUCGGUUUGUAUGUGUGAGCGAAGUAACUAUUGUGGUCUGGACUGUGGGCAGUGGGAGAGCUAGCUUGCAAAUCUCAGCCAUGGUCCAUGAGGGGAAGGUAAGUAGAAGAUUAACAAAAGGUAAACAUACUGUCGGCAUAUGACCAAAUGCACGAUACUUAAAGCAAGACUGAUGAACUAGAAAGUAUGUUGCGGAACUGAAACUAACUAUACAAUCAGCAAUCCUAGCUUCGUUUCUAUGUGUGAACAAGUAGUUGUUGUGGCCUGGACAGAGGACAUGGGAGAGCUAGAUUACAAAUCUGAGCCAUGGUCCAUGAGAGGAAGGUAAGUGGAUGAUUCACCAAACGUAGACAUCCACCAUGUGUGUGCCCCGAAAGCAGCAGAAGUUCGGCCCCAACCCCAUCAACUUGAUCAUCGAUGUGCUCAACACAGGUAUGUGAUAAUCCAAGCCCUAUGCACCUUCUCUAUCCUAUUCCAAUCAUCGUCAACCAGUCUGCUUCCUUCCUGUGUUCUGUUGGGCGGCGAUGAAGUCUGGGUAUUUGAAGAUUUUUUUUCUUUUGCUGAAUUUUCAACUGCAGUGGAUGCGUACAUUGAUUUUAUAUCAUAAGAAUUAUCAUGUUCUUGGCUCUAUCAACUUGCAAGAAAAAAAUGUUAUGCAUGGCAGACAUAUGUAUCAAUCUUGGUGUUCUGCUUCUACUAUUUGCAUACAAGCAGCUAUGUAUGUGACCUAACUCAUGUGCUACUUACGGAAAAUGAUUUUUAUCUCAGGAAGAUCGAAGUCAUUCUCUUGAACAAGACACCAUUCAGGUAGCCAAUAUAUUUACACUAAAUUCCCUUCCAUGUUGCUACUUGCAUACCAAAGGUUGAAGAUCAGCUCAUAAGCAGCAUCCAUAUCAGAAAGUUAUGCUGAAUUUCU